rnacentral:rRNA from 1 species
GAUGAACGCUGGCGGCGUGCCUAAUACAUGCAAGUCGAACGAACGGACGAGAAGCUCGGUUUUCUGAUGUUAGCGGCGGACGGGUGAGUAACACGUGGAUAACCUACCUAUAAGACUGGGAUAACUUCGGGAAACUGGAGCUAAGACCGGAUAAUAUUUUGAACCGGAUGGUUCAAAAGUGAAAGACGGUCUUGCUGUCACUUAUAGAUGGAUCCGCGCUGGAUUGGCUAGUUGGUAAGGUAACGGCUUACCAAGGCAACGAUGCAUAGCCGACCUGAGAGGGGGUACGGCGACAGUGGAAGUGAACGACGGUACUGACACCUAGGUGAGGCCGCAGUACGGACGCGUGCGAGCUGGGCGGAAGCUUGACGGAGGGACGCCGGGUGGGUGAUGCAGGUCCUCGGAUCGUAUGACUCUCUUAUUAGGGAAAAACAUAUGUGUAAGUGACUAAGCACAUCGUGACGGUACCUAAUCAGAAAGUCACGGCUAACUACGUG